GGGCUCGUAGCUCAGCUGGAAGAGUGUCGCCUUUGCGAGGCGAAGGCCACGGGUUCAAAUCCCGUCGAGUCCA
rnacentral:tRNA from 1 species